GGUUAAACAGUUAAUUUAUUUAAAAGGGCACAUUUUUAAACUACAGUAAGCUGGAAUAAAAUGAUACACUAUUUCUUUAUCCAAAGAGUCAGCUGCUAUUUUAAUGAUUAUACUCAAUAUGACUGAUGAAAGGUGUCCUUUGGCAAGGGCUAUUCCUCAUACCUUUAGUACUCCAGGAAUUGUUCUUUCAGCCAGCACCAAAUAUACCACCUUUCCUUGCACAUGAGCUUACCUCAUGUUGUUGGACCAUCCAUUAUGUAAAGAUGUCCAACAUAAAGAGAGAGAGAUGAAACUUGGCCCAAACCAUACUUCAUACUUUCCACCAAUGAAGACAUGGUCUUAAGGGUAAUAAUCUGUUCAGUCCGUACAAUGCUACCUGUAAGUGUGUUUUCAGGGUUGACCGUUUGGUACUGGUCAAUGAAUUGACAUGUUCUGCCCUGGAGAGGACUACCUCUCCCAUUCCCAGCUUUCCUCAGUUGCUUAUAGUUCUUUGUGUGAACCUUCCUCCAUCCAGUUUGUUAUGUUCAUUGGGUCAUCCUUGUUCAGCUCACAUUUGGGCAGUCAUGUUCCUAAGAAUAUAUAUGGAUAUACAUAUAUGAAUGCAAUAAUGGUUUGUUUAAAAAAAGAGGCCAUGAAUUUAAAGGAGAGUGGGGGAGGGUAUGUAGGAGAGUUUGCAGGGAAGAGAAAUGUAAUUAAAUUAAAAUCUCAAGAAUUAAAAAAAAAAUGUAACUAGAAGCAGCACGUAAAAUUAUAUAAAUGGUAUCAGGUCUUCCACUCUGCAAAGAUUCUACUACAGGACUUCCCAGUUGAACAUCUGUGAUAAUGGGGGAUACUUUCCACUCUUUGUGUGGUGGCUGCUAGCCAUGGGUGGGUGCUCAGCACUUAAAAAUGUAGCUAUUCUGAAUGAAAAACUGAAUUUUUUAAGUAACUUAGUAUUGAACUGUAAAGCACAUGUGGCUUGUAGUUCUGAUUGAGGGUGAAAGGUCAAGUUCACUGGAUUCCUUCAGACCAGCCAGCUAGUGCCUGUGAAUGACUUCAUUUUCUUUGAUUCAUUUAUAUUAAUAGCAGAGCAUUCCCAAAGAUGGUUUUAACUCACCUGUUCUUCUAGAAAAGGCAAGUCACUAACUGUCUGCAUCAAAUUCUUUACUUGGAGCUUUGAGAAACCACAACCUACUCACUUGAGAUACUAACUUCAAAAUAAUGUUUUCUCAGAUACCUCUGAUACAUACAGUCUUCUUACAAUAAAUACUACAUAUCACAUCUGAUCAACCUCUUAAGUUUACUAAUUUAUAAGAAGCACAGGGAACAGAAUUGGAUAAAUGAUAACAGUGUAACACAGUCAGCAAAAUUCAGACCAUCAGAAACUUUCGGAAUAAGUAGCCCAGUUUUUCAAGAAAAAAAUAAAGUUUUAUGAAAAAUGAGAGAUUUGAGACUCUGUCCUAUUAAAAUAGUAGUUUAUAUAUUUGUAAUGAAUAAACUUGGUAAAAACAUGCCUGCGUUUGCUUACCAAUAAUCUGUGGGUGGGAGGUGAAGAGUCUACGUACUUUAGCUUCGCAGCUACCUGAUGAAAGUGUCUCCAGCACUCUAUAUAUACAGGUGUCACUGUCUGGGAUGUCAUUUCCUCCCCAGGGCCGUCCUUGUAUCCAGUGAAGCCCUCCUCAAUUUAUUUUCUGCUCCCUGGCUCAUGAGCCACUGACCAACUAUCUGCGAUUUUCAGCUCAUUUAUAUAUCUUUUGUCUCCUUUGCUAUGACCCUGGCACCUAGAAUACUGCCUAGCAACCGUUAGUUCCUUAAUGCCUUAAGAACAAGCUCCUUAAUGUUUUACCUUGCCUCUUAAUGAUGUGCCUUAUACCUCCCUUUUCUUUAAGCUAUACACUUUAGCCAAAGUGACAUGUUUUCCAGAAGCUUCUUACAACUGCCACUGUCUCAAAUCAUCACCUUCUCAACCACUUUCCCUUCUACAUGCUUUCAAACUUUAAAUCUCAGCUCAGGAUACUUCCUGUGAAAACCUUCCCCGUGCAUGGCCUACAGCUACUGCAGCAUUAGCUCUUUGGCACUGGGUUCAGCUCAGGAACACUGUGUUCACUCUGUACCCCAGUGACUCUUAUUUGCCUUAUUGCUGUUCUGAGCUCCUGCACCCAGCCAGGCUUUAGCACAUUAUUUAGUACCUAGUACAUGCUCAAUAAAAUACAUGGAGUAGAAGAGGCAUUUAAAAACUGCACAACCAAUAGUUGUAAAGCCUUUUUGUUGGUCACUGUAAAUAAACUGCUUGACUUUGUUAAUUGGUUAAAUCUAUGAAAUGAUAAUGUAACAAUUUUCUCAAGUAUCAGAUAAAAUAAGAGAUUACUAUAAGCAAAAGUAUCACAUUUUCCUUCUUAAAGAACAAUUAUAAGAUGGGGUAUCACUGUGUGGCCCAGACUGCUUUUGAACUUUAAUCUUUCUGCCUCAUCCUCUGAAGUGCUGAGGUUAGAGGUAUGUGCCACCAUACCUACAUCCCUAAUAUAUUUCCAGACCUGUGUCACUAAAGAUUCACCACUGAGGGUUUAUUAGGAGACAAAACGAAGUUUUAUUUUAUGUGUUAUGUCAACAUGCAUGCAGGUGCCCACAGAGGCCAGAAGAGGGUAUUGGAUCCCUUGUAGCUAGAAUUACAAGUGACUGUCAGCUUCCUAGUGCAUACUAGGAACUGAAUUCCAGUUCUCUACAGGAGCAGCAAGUGCCCUCAUUCAUUGAGCUAUCCUUCCAGUGCCCCAAAACAGAGUUUUAUAAAGUAUUACUAAAAGAUAAAAUGUUACUAUGUUUCUCUAUUGAUUUAAUUAUAGUUCAGAGUAACUGAGAAACUUGUAUUCUUAAACCCUGCUUCCCAAAGGCUUUACAUAUCUAACAUAAAGAAUUAAGUGAACCUAAACAUGUCCCACAACUUUUAGAAAUGUAUAAAACCAAAAGCCUAACAAUAGUUAAGCAUACCAAACACCAAACACAUAUUUCAGCAAGCUAUAGUAGCUGCUAGAAGUUCUGAAUUUUGUCUUACUGUAUGUUAAUAAACAAUUUCCAGUCACCUCUCUAUAAAUCUGUAAAUGCACCAAAGUCCCCAUGCUGGUUUUACAAAUAAAAAUAUUGAUGCAACUCAGAGGACAGGACAGACAACUGACUUCUGUUUGCUCUGUUAUCAGCCUCAGCAUGUAAAUCAUAGUUUUGAAUAUGAUUUCAUCACGGAUAUAACUGUUCAGUGAACAUUUCUGAGACAGACCAUACUGCUGAUGGCAGGUGGAAUGUUCUGACUAAAGUUAUCUUCAUCUACAGUGAAAUCAUUAGGACUACAGACUGUUUACAUCAGUUUUUCUAUAUGGUACCUGGAGUUAUUCUCUAUUCAUAUCUGCUCACUGUUACUAUUAGGUGUCAGAAAGGAGGAUGCUCCUCUGGACAAACAGCAGAAUGACUAAACUAUGUGCACCAGAUGUCUCCUCUACAGAAUACUCAGCAAGAAUGUCCUACAGGGAAACGAGAAGCCGAGAAGCCUCAGCUAUGAGCACAUACUUCCUGCUUAUGCCUGUUUGCCCUUUUCUUAAAUAUAAGAGCAACACUAGGCAUCUCUGUAAAUGUCUUACAGGGGAGGCUAUAAAAGAAACAACCAUUAGUAAAUACAUCUGAAGGCUAAAUUA